rnacentral:rRNA from 1 species
CCUACGGGGGGCAGCAGUGAGGAAUAUUGGUCAAUGGACGGAAGUCUGAACCAGCCAUGCCGCGUGCAGGAAGACGGCUCUAUGAGUUGUAAACUGCUUUUGUACAAGGGUAAACCUGAAUACGUGUAUUCAGCUGAAAGUACUGUACGAAUAAGGAUCGGCUAACUCCGUGCCAGCAGCCGCGGUAAUACGGAGGAUCCAAGCGUUAUCCGGAUUUAUUGGGUUUAAAGGGUGCGUAGGCGGAUUGAUAAGUGAGAGGUGAAAGGUCCGAGCUUAACUCGGGAACUGCCUCUAAUACUGUUGAUCUAGAGAGUAGAUGCGGUAGGCGGAAUGUAUGGUGUAGCGGUGAAAUGCUUAGAGAUCAUACAGAACACCGAUUGCGAAGGCAGCUUACCAAUCUAUAUCUGACGUUGAGGCACGAAAGCGUGGGGAGCAAACAGGAUUAGAUACCCGAGUAGUC